GACCAACCGCCCCCAAUCCUGAUCCAAACAACGGCCACCCUUGUGCUUCCACCGCCGACCGUGCUGCAGGAAGCCGCGCUUCCUCCUUAACAAGCCCGUCUGCCAGACCGUCGUGUCGUGCGCCGUCGUAGCCGGCCACACGUGGGAGGAGCGCCGCUGUCGCAAUCGUUCUAAGGGGAGCCGCGCUCGGACAAGAGCUGCCAUUCGCACUUCCUGCUGACCGCAGGCUGUCGGUGCGUUCGGAGUCGAGUGCGUCGAUCCGCGUUCGACAUCAUUUAUGAGGUAAGAACACAAAUUGAAGGAUAAAACAUGUGCGCUUAUAGUUCUUGGUUUGGAUUUUGAUCCAUUGAUCGAGAGUGCCAACGCAGCAUAGUUUUAUGUUCGUCUUUUUCUCCUGAUGUCUUGCGGAAGGUUGCAAGUAUUGCCUGAUUCCUGGUUACUACAAGUGACAAACGAAACAAGGAUCAAUCCAUUGCACUUUCUAUUUCUUACCUUGAUUUAUGAUGGUGGACAAUUUCAAGUUUUUGUUGUCCUGCUUGGAGAGUUGGAGUAUGACAAAUCCAUAUUUUCUUGAGCGUGCGACUCAAUCGGUUGAGUUCUUCCCCUGCGGGAGGGCAUGCCGACACAUGUCCGUGAGCAGCCUGAUAACAGUUGUCGCCGAGGGAGCAUCGCAGUGCCUUGCGCCAGAGGAGGAGCACUUCUUGCAGUAGGUACGAGCGGCCGCGCCAUUCUUCAUUCCUGCCGGCAUGCGCCUGACGUUGGCCGCCUCCGCCGCCGAUGGGAAGGACGUCACGGCUGUUGUCCAUGCCGCCGGGAGGCUCUCUUCGCGCUCUGUGAUUCUUGUGCACGCGUACCCGCCUUCUCGAGAUGGCCUCUCUCGCUCAACGGAGAGCAAAGCGUCGAUAACGUGUGAAGAAACAAUUGCUAGAAUCAAUCAUCUAUUUGAUUCUCUGAUGAUCACAACUUAUAUAUCUUCUGAAGAGACAUGUCUAACAGACACAACGCUUUGGAGAGUCGGGAGAGAAGAAACGCGUCGGUUAGAUUGCUAACGACUCUCUAAUACAACGUGGAGAUUAUCCACAUAAUUAAUUACAAUAAUUAAUUUCUAAUAGUGGCUAUAUCUCCCACGUAUCGAGGCACGACUUAGAGGCAUAACCGCAUGAUGGUUUAGUCGCAAGUGAGGUAAUCUUCACACAAUCCCAUGUACAGAAUAAGAAUGGGAUAAAGAGUUGGCUUACAAUCGCCA
rnacentral:lncRNA from 1 species